rnacentral:rRNA from 1 species
GAUGCAAUUGCAUCACUACCAGAUGGACCUGCGUUGUAUUAGCUAGUUGGUGAGGUAACGGCUCACCAAGGCGACGAUACAUAGCCGACCUGAGAGGGUGAUCGGCCACACUGGGACUGAGACACGGCCCAGACUCCUACGGGAGGCAGCAGUAGGGAAUCUUCGGCAAUGGGGGGAACCCUGACCGAGCAACGCCGCGUGAGUGAAGAAGGUUUUCGGAUCGUAAAGCUCUGUUGUAAGAGAAGAACGGGUGU